rnacentral:rRNA from 1 species
UAGGGAAUCUUCCGCAAUGGGCGAAAGCCUGACGGAGCAACGCCGCGUGAGUGAUGAAGGUCUUCGGAUCGUAAAACUCUGUUAUUAGGGAAGAACAUAUGUGUAAGUAACUGUGCACAUCUUGACGGUACCUAAUCAGAAAGCCACGGCUAACUACGUGCCAGCAGCCGCGGUAAUACGUAGGUGGCAAGCGUUAUCCGGAAUUAUUGGGCGUAAAGCGCGCGUAGGCGGUUUUUUAAGUCUGAUGUGAAAGCCCACGGCUCAACCGUGGAGGGUCAUUGGAAACUGGAAAACUUGAGUGCAGAAAGAGGAAAGUGGAAUUCCAUGUGUAGCGGUGAAAUGCGCAGAGAUAUGGAGGANCACCAGUGGCGAAGGCGACUUUCUGGUCCGGUAACUGACGCUGAUGUGCGAAAGCGUGGGGAUCAAACAGGAUUAGAUACCCUGGNAGUCNACGCNGUAAACGAUGAGUGCUAAGNUGUUAGGGGGUUUCCGCCCCUUAGNGCUGCAGCUAACGCAUUAAGNACUCCNGCCUGGGGAGUACGACCGCNGGUUGG